rfam:Ipomoea nil DNA, scaffold: scaffold3227, cultivar: Tokyo-kokei standard.
GGGGAUGUAGCUCAGAUGGUAGAGCGCUCGCUUCGCAUGCGAGAGGUACGAGAAUCGAUACCCCGCAUCUCCA